rnacentral:misc_RNA from 1 species
CAGAGUUCUUUGCAACUCCCAACCCUGUGAACUUUAUCUCUUGUUUGUUGCUUCUGGCAGGCGGCCCUCGGGUGCCUGCCAGCGGUAACCUGCUCCAACCUUCUUUUGUAUCUUAAACCGUCUGAGUCUGAAAAAAUAAAUCA